rnacentral:rRNA from 1 species
ACGGAAGGCAGCAGUGGGGAAUAUUGGGCAUGGGGGAAACCCUGACCCAGCAACGCCGCGUGAAGGAAGAAGGCCUUCGGGUCGUAAACUUCUUUUACCAGGGACGAAAAUUGACGGUACCUGGAGAAAAAGCAACGGCUAACUACGUGCCAGCAGCCGCGGUAAUACGUAGGUUGCAAGCGUUGUCCGGAUUUACUGGGUGUAAAGGGCGUGUAGGCGGAGCUGCAAGUCAGAUGUGAAAUCCCGGGGCUCAACCCCGGAACUGCAUUUGAAACUGUAGCCCUUGAGUAUCGGAGAGGCAAGCGGAAUUCCUAGUGUAGCGGUGAAAUGCGUAGAUAUUAGGAGGAACACCAGUGGCGAAGGCGGCUUGCUGGACGACAACUGACGCUGAGGUGCGAAAGCGUGGGGAGCAAACAGGAUUAGAUACCCUGUUA